rnacentral:misc_RNA from 1 species
AACAAAUUAUGGGUGGAAGCCCUAAGUGGUGGAAUAUGAUGAAUAAUAUGAGGCCUCCCAUAUCAUCAUCUCAACAAGCUGCUGUUGCUGCUACUACUACUCAUCAUGUUCCUAAUUCCUUGUUGCCUCCUAAUAUUCUUUUUCCUCAUUUCUCUUCUUCACUAGUUCCCAUGUCAUCUACUACUAAUUCAUGGAAUGAUAGUAACCAAAGUCAGCUACCUGAAUCAUGGAGUCAAUUACUUCUAGGUGGCUUGGUGGAAGAAGAAGACAAGUCCG